UACGUAGGGUGCAAGCGUUGUCCGGAAUUAUUGGGCGUAAAGAGCUCGUAGGCGGUCUGUCGCGUCGGCUGUGAAAACCCGGGGCUCAACCCCGGGCCUGCAGUCGAUACGGGCAGACUAGAGUGCGGUAGGGGAGACUGGAGUUCCUGGUGUAGCGGUGAAAUGCGCAGAUAUCAGGAGGAACACCGGUGGCGAAGGCGGGUCUCUGGGCCGUAACUGACGCUGAGGAGCGAAAGCGUGGGGAGCAAACAGG
rnacentral:rRNA from 1 species